ACAGAAACGGAAGCUUAACGGCCAUUUUAAAAAUGGAGGAGAAAGAAAUCCUAGGAAAGAAGGAAUAAAAUGAAAUGUAAAAAACGGAGUAAACAGUCUGUUGUGGAGUGGAACUGAGUUGCUGUGUUUCAAGCUGCUUAUAUAUCGGGUGAACGGACAAGGAAGAACGCAGGCACCUAUUACGCGAAAAAGCGCCCACCUACAGGUAAGCGGAUAAAAAGGCUGCGUCCGAAUAGGCCUCAGAAGUCUGACGUAACGCAUAGCAAAAACCUUGCCCUUAUAUGGAAUCUCAUAAAAAACACGAUUUCAACGUACAAAAAUGCCAAGUUACUCAAAAGUAUUGAUAUCAAAAUGACGCCAAGUUACGGUACUACAAACAACUUAGGCUAUCUUGCCUCACCGAAAUUAAAUAAGAUGCAUUCCAAAGCAGUGCUACCCAAUAGUUCCUCAGUUCUUUCAAGUCACUUGGCCCUGUGUGUAUAAGCAUUGGACUACAUGGACAGGCCAAACAUAUGUGUGGAUGGCUAUCUCACAGUCAGGAUUGAUUGAAUAGGCGUGUAUAUGUCCAAUUUGUAUUGGUAUGUAUGUAUUUCGCUGCCCAACCUUUCUGUUGUGUGAAUGAUAGUACGUGUCUUGGUAUGUGUGUGUUCGUAAAUGUGAAUGUAACAUGCUGCGAGGGAAAUGUCCCCAUGGGGAUAAAGAAAUUCUCUAUGUAUGUAUGCACAAUAUGUAUUUUACAGUAUUUAUUGUACGUAGCAAAUAUACAAUAACUUGUACAUGUACUCAAAUUCAGUUCAGAAGCAAGUAUGAACAUGUUUUCUGGAGAAAUAUGCUUCCUGUAGUUACUGAGCAGCAGUGUUGUACAUUAAUUUCAAUGUGUUCCAUGAGGCAAUUCGAAAUAUUUGACUCUUUGAUCUUACACAAAGUUUGCAUGACAUUGUAAAAUGGUAAGAUUACAAAACACAGGGCCAAGUGACUUGAAAGAACUGAGGAAAUAUUGGGUAGCAUUGCUUUGGAAUGCAUCUUAUUUAAUUUCGGUGAGGCAAGAUAGCCUAUAUUGUUUGUAGUACCGUAACUUGGCGUCAUUUUGAUAUCAAUAAUUCUGAGUAACUUGGCAUUUUUGUACGUUGAAAACGUGUUUUUUAUGAGAUAUCAUUUCUUUUUGCAAAGCGUUUUAUUAUGAGAGUGAGAAAUGCGAAGUGACCCUGUAAGAAACGGUUGUGGAUUAUGGCUGUCCUUGUGUGAAUUUGUACAGUCUGAUGAGCGUGUACUGUUGAGCAGUUUCAGUUUGCUAUAUAUGUAAAACAGUGGCUGUGACAAAGAAACGCAGGUGAAAUAUGGCAUGUAUGUACUCACGGAUUUGACGGCCAUCCAACAAGCCUUGAUUGAGAAAGGAAUCAGCAAGCACGUAGAAUUAGAGCUUCAUAGGUCGCAACUUGUGUACCCUGCUGUCCUGCUCCGUUGUCUGUUAUUUCGCGGAGAUGCACUUUUAUUGUUUGUGUAAGGUUUAUGAGGCAGUUUGAUAGGCUUAUCUGCAGGUGGGAAUCCUGUUCGCUGUUUUGCUAAGCUAGAACCGGAAAACUUGAUAGUGGAGAAUAGGAGCAGACGCAUAUGUCCCAGUAG